GGCCACCCCAAAUGAAAAACAUCCCCAAACACACCAAGCAAUGGUCCUUUGUAGAUAAAAUUGAACAUGGGCCAGCCCUCUGUGUGACACAGCUGUCUUUAUGUGGACUCACUGAUCUUUACUUCACCGAUACGAGAUGAAAGUCCCAGGAAGCCCUACCUCACAAGCACCCGAAGCUUGUCUCCAAUGUCUGGACUUUUUGGUUCCAUCUGGGCCCCGCAAAGCGAUGUGUAUGAAAAUUGCUGCCCCAUCAACCCCACCACGGAACAUUCGACCCACAUGGAAAACCAAGCGGUCGUGUGCAAGGAAUACUACCCGGGGUUCAACCCGUUUCGCGCCUAUAUGAACCUGGACAUAUGGACUACCACAGCGAAUAGGAAUGCAAAUUUCCCACUGUCUAGAGACUCGAGUUACUGUGGGAAUGUGUGAAAAUAAUUGGAUUUUUAAACAAUGUGAAUAAAGAGGCUUGUGUUUUGAUUACUAGUGUAAACUGGUUAUUGAGAUAGAUUAUGACAUUGGUGGAUAUUUUGGCACUUUUAUAUGAAAAUAAAUUUUUUAAUGAAA
rnacentral:lncRNA from 1 species